GACAUUCAGACUUUAUUGGAAAAGUGAUGUCAGGAAUCAGGAAAUGGAAGCACAAGCCGGGGCAGCUGAGACUUGGAGUGGAGGUGGAGAUCUGCCAGGGAGGAAUGUUCCCUGGGUCUGUUCCAGAAAGUAAGAUAGACCCGCAUGAAUGGAUCAAAUGAAAAAGACCACAGAGGGCUGAACAUGAGGCAGAACCAGGCAUGCAGAUAUUCAGCCUCCGAUUCCUGAAAGCCAGGGUUGUGUGCAGCAAGGCAAGGCCCUCUGCCACCAGGAGCAGUAAGGAGAUUAAGUCAUGCUGCAGUGAAAACAAAUUCAGAUGAAGACACACAAUGAGACAAACAACAGAAACAGUGUUUGUUUUAGAGAUAACUCUGUUCUUCUGCUAAUCAAGAUGAAACCUCAUCCUUCUCCCAUCUGUGAUGUCUGCAGCAUAAACUCAGAUUAAACCACCCUAUCAGGUUGCAGUUUUUGGCCUGCCUAGCUCUGGACAGUUUUCCUGGCACCUUCCUCCUUCCACAGACUCCAGUCUCCACAUCACCGCCGAUUACCUGCACCUGCCGUCACCAAUUACUCAGACUCUUUUCACCUGUCCAACCUCCUUCAUA